GGCUGGUCUAAAGGUAGUGAGUUAUCUCAGUUGAUUGUUCACAGUCAGUUUCAGUUACAGAUUGAAUGCCUUGUUCUGCUCUUACCCCGUUCUCACUACUCGACUAGCCUAAA
ensembl:misc_RNA Y_RNA Y RNA